AACGUAGGUGGCAAGCGUUAUCCGGAUUUACUGGGCGUAAAGCGUGUGCAGGCGGGGGUACAAGUGGUGUAUGAAAUUUCCCAGCUUAACUGGGAAGGGUUAUGCCAGACUGUACUUCUGGAGUGCGAGAGAGGGGCGUGGAAUUCCGGGUGUAGUGGUGAAAUGCGUAGAGAUCCGGAGGAACCCCAGAGGCGAAGGCGGCGCCCUGGCUCGUACCUGACGCUCGGACACGACAGCAUGGGGAGCGAACGGG
rnacentral:rRNA from 1 species